GAUGAACGCUAGCUACAGGCUUAACACAUGCAAGUCGCGGGGCAGCAUGGGGGUUGCUUGCAAUCCCCGAUGGCGACCGGCGCACGGGUGAGUAACGCGUAUCCAACCUGCCCUUCACCACGGGAUAACCCGGCGAAAGUCGGACUAAUACCGUAUGUUUUCCAUUGACGGCAUCCGAUUUGGACGAAAGGUUUGGCGGUGAAGGCUGGGGAUGCGUCCGAUUAGCUGGAGGGCGUGGUGACGGCCCACCCUGGCGACGAUCGGUAGGGGUUCUGAGAGGAAGGUCCCCCACACUGGAACUGAGACACGGUCCAGACUCCUACGAGAGGCAGCAGUGAGGAAUAUUGGUCAAUGGGCGUAAGCCUGAACCAGCCAAGUAGCGUGCAGGAUGACGGCGCUAUGGGUUGUAAACUGCUUUUAUGCGGGGAUAAAGUGGCCCACGUGUGGGUUUUUGCAGGUACCGCAUGAAUAAGGACCGGCUAAUUCCGUG
rnacentral:rRNA from 1 species